rnacentral:lncRNA from 1 species
AUUGCUUCACUCUACGUGGCAUUUCUUAAAAUCUAAAAAAAUAUUUUAUUAAUUAAUUUCGUAUUUUUUAAACAAAUAAUUAAUUAAUUAAUUAAUCAUUUCAUGGAAAAUUAAUGAUUACUAUUUCAAUUUAAUAAUUAUUCAUUAUGAUUUCUAUAAUUUCAUACAAAAUAAUCAUUAAUAAUUAACAAAUUUAAAAUUUCAUACAAAUUAAUUUCAUGCUAAUUAAUUAAAUUGUAUUAAGAUUAAUUAAAUAUUUUUAAAAUUAAAUUAUUAAAUAUUAAUUAGUAACAAAUUAUUUUAUUUCAUGCAAAUUAACUAAUAUUUAAUAAUUAAUUAAUAUUCAAUUUAAUAAGUCAAUUGUUAAUUACAUGUAAAUUGAUUAAAUCAUUAUAAUGAUAAUUAAUUUACAAAUUAAUCAUUAUUAUUUCAAUUUAAUAAUUAGUUAAUUAAAUUUUUAUUUCAAUUAAUAAAUUAAUCAUUUCAUUUUACAGUAAAUUUAAUAAAUUAAAAAUUAGUUAAUUAAAGAAAUAAAUUUAAAUUUUUACCGCAAUAUAGGUUUCCAAUCCGAAUUUCACAAAAAAUCAGUUUUCAGAACCUACAACGUACAAGUAUAAAACAAAAUAAUUAAUUAAAUUAAUUUUUAAAUUAUAUAAAACAAUAGAAUUAUUUAAUUAUUUAAAAAUAUUAUUAAUUCUUUAAUUAAAAACAGUAAAUAAAAUACAGAUUUUAUGUUAUUUUUAAAAUUACUUAAAAACAAUAAAUUAUUUAUUUAUUUAUUUAAAGAAAAUAUUAACUAUUUAAAAACACUAAUUUGUUUUAAUAAUUCAAUAAUAACAGUAAUUAUUAUUUCAAUUAAAUACACUUUCAUUUAAUUAAAAAACAUUAAAACAGUAAAUUAAUUACUUGAAUAUCAUUUAAUUAAAACAGUAAAUUAUAUUUAAAUAUCAUUAAUUAUUUGAAUUCAUGCAAAUUAAUUAAUUACAUUCAUACAAAAACACAUUAAUUAUUUUAUAUGAAUUUUAAAUUAUUUAAAAACAUAAAUUAAUUAAUUAUUUUCAUUAUUUUUAAAAUAAUUUAAAAACAGAAAAUAAUUAAAACAAAUUAUUUCUUAAUUUCAAACAUGAAAAACAUUAAUUAUUUAACUAUACAAUUUUACGAAUUGUUGAUUUUUUUAAACCUACAUCAAGUCAACAACACAAUAAUUAAUUAGUUAAUUAUGUCAAUUAUUUAUUUAAUUAAAUCAAUUUAUAAAUUUUUUAAAAACAAUCAAUUCAAUAAUUAAUUAAAACUAUUAUAAACAGUAAAUUAAAUAUAUAAUUCAUAAAUUAUUUUUCUAAAUUAUUAAAAAUACAUUAAUUGACAUAUACAAAUCAACUAAUUUCAAACAAUCAAAAUUAUUCCAUAUACCAAUUUCAAACAUUUACAAUUUCAUUUCAUUCCAUAUACCAAAAUAUCAUUUCAUCAAAAUCAUCAUAUCAUAAAACAAAUCAACUAAAUCAUUACAUUCAAACAUAUCAAAACCAUAUCACAUUACAUUAAAACAAAUCAACUAAAAAUAUCAUUACAUUUAAACAAAUCAACUAAAAAUAUCAUUACAUUUAAACAAAUCAAAACCAUUACAUUAAAAUAUAUCAUAAAAACAAUCAACUAAAAGAUAGAUGAUAUACAAAUAUCUAACAUCCAUAUAUAGAUUACAACAUCAAUUUUCAUAUCAUUUCUAUCAUUUAUAAAACACUUCAUUAACAUCAUUUCUAUCAUUUCUAUCAUUACAUUCCAAACAUCUAAACAUUUCUAUCAUUUUUAUCUAACAAAUUUAUAAAACAUCAUAAAACACUAACAUUAUCAUCUAAACAUCUAAACAUCCAAACAUCCAAACACUAACAAAUAUAUAGAUUAAAACACAUGAUUUACCUAAAACAUCCAAACAUCCAAUCAUCUAAAACAAAUUCAUAAAAUACAAAUAUCAAUUAACAUCAAAAAAUGGAAGAAAUCAUACCUUCACACCACGGAAACGAAGACCGGCGGGAGGGGAUGACGACGGCGAGGGGACGACGGCGACGGGACGACAGCGAGGGGACGACGGCGACGGGACGACGGCAAGUGAUCGACGACGACGACGACGACGGCAGUUGGCAGACGGUGGCAGACGGCAGCGGCGGCGAUUGGGGAGAGGAGAAAUCGAUUUGAACACAGACAGUGGCGUCUGUCGAUUUGGGGUUUUUUAUUAAACCCCAAAACUUACAUGGCGGAUCCGCCAUGUAAGUACACUUAAGUGCCGCCAUGUAAGGUGGAAAAGUCCGCCCAAUCGAAAUUUGGGCGGGCUUUUUCCGCCCGGCUCCCCGAAUACUUAACAUGGCGGAUGUCCGCCAUAUUAAGUCAAUUUAAUCGGGUAAUCGGGUUAUUGUUUGGGGGAGAUUCGAAAUUUUGGGCGGGAUAGUUUAGAUGGCGGAUUUCCUCCAUCUAAACACCGCCAUCGAAAACAAUUUCGAACCGCCGUCGAGCCAAAACCUUUCCUCGGCAGACUCAAAGAAUAGAUGGCGAACAUCCGCCAUCUAAACAACUGAAGUAUUGAUGGCGGAAAUCCGCCAUCUAAAGGCCGCCAUACAAGGUCCUUUUUUUUGUAGUGGUGGCUGAAAUGUUGAAUCAGCAGAUCAUCAGGCCUAGCACCAACCCAUAUUCAUCUCCAAUACUACUAGUGAAAAAGAAAGAUGGGGGCUAUAGAUUAUGUGUGGAUUAUAGAGUUUUGAAUGCUCUAACUGUUAAAGACAAGUAUUCUAUUCCUACAGUGGAACUUCUAAGGGAACUUAAAAGAUCUAAUUUUUUUUCAAAAUUAGAUCUAAGAUCUGGAUUUCAUCAGAUCAGAGUUCAUCCACCUCACAUUGAAAGGACAGCAUUCAAAACCCACCAGGGGCACUUUGAAUUCCUAGUGAUGUCAUUUGGUCUCACAAAUGCAUUAACAACUUUCCAAUCAAUCAUGAAUUCGGUUUUUGCUAAAUAUUUAAGGAAAUUCGUUAUUAUAUUUUUUGACGAUAUAUUAGUGUUCAGCUCAUCCCUACAUGAUCACCUCACACAUUUACAGAAGGUAUUUGACACCUUGAGGGAGAACAGAUUAUUAGCAAAGCUGUCCAAAUGUUCCUUUGGUCAAGAUUCUAUGGGCUUUUUGGGUCAUAUCAUCAAGGCUGAUGGGGUGCAUCCGGAUCCGAAAAAAAUAAAAGCAAUGGUGGAGUGGGCUGUUCCAAAGAAUCUUAAAAUGCUAAGGGGAUUUUUGGGAUUGACUGGCUACUAUAGGAGAUUCAUUAAGAGCUAUGCCCAAAUAGCUGCUCCUAUGACAGAUUUAUUAAAAAAGGAUGCUUUAAUUUAAGUGGAGUGACAUAGCCCAAUGUAGCUUUGAAAAUUUAAAACAGCCAUGGUGUCAGCUCCAGUACGUAUUAGGAUACCCUGAUUUUAGUCAACAAUUCAUUGUUAGAUAGAUGCUUGCAACAAUGGGGUAGGGGCAAUAUUAAUUCAGAACAAGCAUCCUACAUCAUUCUUCAGCAGAAAGAUAGUUGGUAAGCUCAGUUCAGCAACAAUAUAUGCGAAAGAAAUGUAUACGAUAAUACAAGCAGUAGCCAAGUGGAGACACUACUUAUUGGGAUCUCAUUUCAUAAUUAAGACUGACCACAGAAGUCUGAAAAAUCUCUUAACUCAGAUAAUCCAGACUCCAGAACAACAAGUGUUCCUUGUAAAAUUGUUGGGAUUCGAUUUUAGCAUACUAUAUAAACCAGGCAAGGAAAAUAUUGUAGUUGAUGCUUUAUCCAGAUCAUUUGAAGAAGGAGAGAGUGAAGAAAUUAUAUUUUCCAGUGGAUCUGAAGAUGAACCAAGAUCAUUACUAUCUUUUUCUAUAUCAAUCAAUUCUAUGCUAGAAGAUAUUAAGAAAGAAAAUGAAAAAGAUCCUGAGGUGCAGAGCAUUAUUCAGACAUCAUUGGAGGAAGGCCAAGAUUUCAACGGUUUUCAGGUAAAAUCAGGAAUUUUAUUCUUUAAGAGCAGAUAUUACUUAAAGAAUAAUUCAGUUUUUAUUCCUAAAAUUCUAGAAGAGUUUCAUGAUUCACUAGUAGAAGGUCAUGCUGGUAUAAUGAAGAUAAAGAAAAGAGUAUGCAAACUAUUUUAUUGGCCUAAGAUGGGGUUGGAAGUUGGAUAUACAUAAUUAUGUGAAAGAUUGUGUAAUUUGCCAAAAAAUGAAGCCUUCCAACCAAAAGCCUUCAGGCCUACUCAUGCCUCUACCUAUUCCGUCUACAAUAUGGAAAGAUGUAACCAUGGACUUUAUAACUGACCUACCUAAAAGGGAAGGAAAAUUUGUAAUAAUGGUGGUAGUGGAUAGGUUAUCCAAAUAUGCCCAUUUCAGUGCACUACCUCCAAACUUCAAUGCUAUCCAGGUAGCUGAGGUGUUUCUGAAAAAUAUCUUUAAGUUACAUGGAAUACCCACCUCAAUAGUAUCAGAUAGAGAUAGAAUAUUCACUUCCAAAUUUUGGAAGGAACUACACAAAUUGAGUGGAACCAAACUGUCCUAUUCUUCAUCAUACCAUCCCGAAACUGAUGGCCAAACAGAGGUGGUAAAUAAAACCUUAGAAAUGUAUCUAAGGUCAUACGGUCAUGAUGACCCAAAGCAGUGGCUAGGAUUACUGCCAUGGACAGAAUUAUGGUAUAAUUCGGGGUACCACUCUUCCAUUGAGAUGUCUCCAUUCAAAGUUGUUUAUGGUAAAGAAGCUAAUGAACUACCACAUUAUAAGGAAGGAGAUUCACAAAUAGAAUCAGUUGAUAUGAUGCUAAUUCUGAGAGAAGAAACAUUGGCAGCUAUAAAAAGAAAUUUAUUGAAGACUCAAGCAAGAAUGAAGCUUCAAGUUGAUAAAAAGAGGUUUGAGGUGAGAUUUGAAGUGGGUGCAUGGAUCUUAGUAAAAUUACAGCCAUACAGACAGAUUUCAGUGGCAAGCAGAUUACAUAAUAAAUUGUGCCAAAAAUAUUUUGGUCCUUAUAUGAUUAAAAGAGUGAUAAAUAAAGCUGCAUACAAACUAAAACUACCUGAAGGAAGCAGAAUACAUAGUACAUUCCAAGUGUCAAGGUUGAAGGCAUUUUGAGGUCCAAUAUCUGAAAAUCAGUCCGGAAAAGAUUCAGUAAUAGCCAUCAAAAAUCAACCAAUCAGUUACCCAAUUGCAAUACUGGAUAGCAGGAUCAUAUGGCAAGCCAAAGAAAAAGUUAAACAAGUUCUAAUUCAGUGGAACGGGGCAUUACCUGAAGACUCAUCUUGGGAGUCAGUGGCGGAUAUCGCAAGCAGAUUUCCUUCUCUAAACCUUGAGGACAAGGUCGUUUCAGAAGAGGGUAGUGAUGAUACGAUGAUUAUCGGCUUUGAGACAAUAUCUAAGGAUUUACAACAAGCUAUUGAAAGAGGGGACACAGAAUCCCUAGCUGAGAAUAUUUUGGGGGAGAACGAGGGUUCACAACAAUUCAACUCCCAUGAACCGGCUCUGGUUCAAGCUAAAGGAAUUCGACCAGAAAGAAUUAAGAAGAGGCUGGACCAUCUUCAAGACUUCGUUGUGGGCUGAAACAUUAACCCAACAACGUUAGUUAUUUUUUUAAAUAAAUUGCAAACAGACCUGAAGUUAAUUUUAAGUUGUAAUAGGUCUUAGUUAUAAACUCUCUAAUGAUUGAGGAAAUCUUUAUCGAAAAUUGAACCAAAUUCUAAUCUCCUAUCAAUUCCACAAAAACACAACCCUACAUCCGGCAGUUCUGUCGAGUACUCCUCCGUUCAUCUUCUCUAUCACUGCCGGUCUUCUCAACAGUCAGCCGCAUUGAGCUCUCUGCUGAUUUGCUUAAC